rnacentral:piRNA from 1 species
UGGGAAGAGUUGGUCUUUCAACCUGAUGA